AGGACGAACGCUGGCGGCGUGCUUAACACAUGCAAGUCGAGCGGAAAGGCCCUUCGGGGUACUCGAGCGGCGAACGGGUGAGUAACACGUGAGCAACCUGCCCCUGGCUCUGGGAUAGCCUCCGGAAACGGGGAUUAAUACCGGACAUUCACUUCCUUCCGCAUGGUUGGUGGUGGAAAGUUUUUCGGCCGGGGAGGGGCUCGCGGUCUAUCAGCUUGUUGGCGGGGUAACGGCCCACCAAGGCGACGACGGAUAGCCGGCCUGAGCGGGCGAGCGACG
rnacentral:rRNA from 1 species